AAGAAUUUGAGAAGACCUUGGCAAUAUCUUUCUUCAAUAAAAACUUAUUUUAAUUCUUCUCAUCAUCAUUAAGUCCUUAUUGGGAUAUCUUUUCUACAAAAGUUUUGAUAAAUGAGAUUUCUUAUUUCUCGAAUGACGAGAAAACAUUGGUAUUGAUCAUUGAUAUUGGUAUUGAUUCUUGGUGUGUGAUAAAGGUUAUUGUGAGAAGACAAUGAUAUUUCUUGAUAUGCCUUGAUAUUCUUUGAUAUACCUUGAUAUCUCUUGAUAUUCUUUGGUAUUCUUUGAGAUUCCUUGGUAUUUCUUCCACAUGAUUGGGAUGAACAACCCUAUUUAUAGGGGACACAAGGUAUACCUGUCUGUGUGAUAGGAGUUGGAUGGGACGCCAUCACUUGUGUGUGUUGUGAUUACAAGAAGGUUAACAACCUUUAGUAGUGUCUAAUAUGGGCACGCAACAUUAAGUUCAUUUGAUCAUAUUGAUCUCUCAGUCACUCUCUUAUUCAAACAUGACCUAUUUUGAAAACAUUUUGUUCCAUUCUAAGUUCUUAAAGAGUGAUUCUAAGAACUGAGCUCUGUAAUGGUGAAAGUUUUAAUACUCUUAUUUNCUCUUAUUCAAACAUGACCUAAUUUGAAAACAUUUUUGUUCCAUUCUAAGUUCUUAAAGAUUGAAUCUAAGAACUGAGCUCUGUAAUGGUGAAGGUUUUAAUACUCUUAUUUGUUUCAAAGUCAAAGGUAUGCCAAGGUCGAACGAAGGUGGGAGGAUGAUAGUACGAAGGAUGUACAUUUUCGUUCUCUUCGCGGAUUCUGAGGACAGAAUCCUUAUAAGGGGGGUAGAAUGUAACAUCCCAGAUUUUCAGAAUUAGUUUAUUAAUAUAGAAAUAAAUUUUUGAAUAUUACUAUUGGCUUUAAUUGAUUUCUUCUGAUAAGAUGAACGGUCUGUGUAAUAUGAGUAUAAUUGUGAAGUGAAUUAUAAGGUUAAAGACGGAAGAUGCAUUCUUCUGUUGUGAUUUCGUUUAUUUUAGCGACCCGGAUUUUUCAAAAAAAUUGUUUAUCUUUAUAAAAGUAAUUUUCUUAGAAAGAGAGGAAUAAAGUUUAAUAUGUUAUUCUAGUUUAAUGUGUUUUCAAAAUUGUAUAUUUAAAUUCCGGGUUAUUGUUUUAUCAAUACAGGGUUGUCUUUUCAAAAUUAUAUUUUAUAUAAUUGAUUUUAAAGAUUUAAAAGAUUGCUAUUGUUACAUGGCUAAGUGUUGCAUGUGGAAUUGUGAGUUUAGUUAGUUAUGAUAAUUUAAUGUGAAUAUUGUAUGAAUUUUGGUGUAAAUUGAUUUUCUGUAAUUGGUAUUUAUACGUGCUAGAACUGUGGGUUUAAUUAUUGAUAUUAUCAGAAUGAGUCAUGUGUUAUUUAGAUAUUUUCAAAUGAUUUAUAUAUGGAUAUAUGAAUAUCCUUUCAAAACUUAUUUCAAAUAUUAUUUCUGAAAAUACAGAGGUUUGUCAUGUAAAAGUUAGAUGGUUGAUAUGUGAAUAUAUGUAUUACAUGAUUAAGUGUUACGUGUGUAAUGGUCGUGUAACCAGUUAUGGUUAUUUACGAAUAUUAUUUGAAUAUUUGGUAAAUUAUUUGAUAACUAGUUUUCUAUUUUGAUUGCUUAUAUAUGUUGCAAUCACGAGUUUUCAAUUUUCAUAUUCUCAGAAUAAAAUAUGGAACAUUUGGGUAUUUUCUAGAUAAUUUAUGAAUAAUAUGUGAUAUUUAUAUGAAUAUUUGUGAGACUUGUGUUAUCUGGUUUAUUGAAUUGACUGCUCAUAUGUGUUCGGAUUUGAGAUAUUUCAAUUUCUAUAUGAUCAGGAU
rnacentral:lncRNA from 1 species